rnacentral:rRNA from 1 species
GACGAACGCUGGCGGCGUGCUUAACACAUGCAAGUCGAACGAUGAACCCGGAGCUUGCUCUGGGGGAUUAGUGGCGAACGGGUGAGUAACACGUGAGUAACCUGCCCUUGACUCUGGGAUAACCUCCGGAAACGGAGGCUAAUACCGGAUAUGACGCACGGAGGCAUCUCCUGUGCGUGGAAAGAAUUUCGGUCAAGGAUGGACUCGCGGCCUAUCAGGUUGUUGGUGAGGUAACGGCUCACCAAGCCUACGACGGGUAGCCGGCCUGAGAGGGUGACCGGCCACACUGGGACUGAGACACGGCCCAGACUCCUACGGGAGGCAGCAGUGGGGAAUAUUGCACAAUGGGCGCAAGCCUGAUGCAGCAACGCCGCGUGAGGGACGACGGCCUUCGGGUUGUAAACCUCUUUUAGUAGGGAAGAAGCGAAAGUGACGGUACCUGCAGAAAAAGCACCGGCUAACUACGUGCCAGCCGCCGCCGUAAAAC